UACGGAGGGUGCGAGCGUUAAUCGGAAUUACUGGGCGUAAAGCGCACGCAGGCGGUUUGNUAAGCUAGAUGUGAAAGCCCCGGGCUCAACCUGGGAUGGUCAUUUAGAACUGGCAGACUAGAGUCUUGGAGAGGGGAGUGGAAUUCCAGGUGUAGCGGUGAAAUGCGUAGAUAUCUGGAGGAACAUCAGUGGCGAAGGCGACUCCCUGGCCAAAGACUGACGCUCAUGUGCGAAAGUGUGGGGAGCGAACAGG
rnacentral:rRNA from 1 species